UCAUUUACAAGCAACUUUUCCUAUAUCUUAGGAAGAGCUAUCCACACAUGUGAGCUUUUGCUGGUUCCUGGGGACAAGCAAAGAAAAUGACAAAUUCUACCUACCCCACCCUAUAAAAUACAUAGUAAGUACCAGAAUCCUGCCGGAAGCUGUGAACCAUUCCAAAAGGUGCUGGCAGUGCUGAAGAAGACCUACAUCCACAAAUAUUCAGAACGCUUCAUGGAUUCUAGAAGAUCUUGGACUACUGGUUCUGAGACAGGAUAUCCUUUCUUCACUGCAUAUGCUGACUUACCGUAUACUAAAAUAAAUCCUUCAUGGAUUCUAGAAGAAGAUCUUGGACUCCUGGUUCUGAGACAGGAUAUUAGUAUUCAAGGCACGCAAGAAGCACCGACAUCAGCAUGACUGCACCAGUUUUGGACCUCAAGUUCUGCAGAGGUGUCAUAACAGCCUCCAGAAGGUUGCCUUCACAUUGCAGAGAACUGCAUUACAUGUAAAGAAACUUGAGCUCAGAGAACCUGCCUCUUUUACAAUGAGUAUUAGGGAGAGAGAAUCUCCAGGUCAAGAUACUCAACAAUUUUCUGGCCCACUGCUACAGAGAUAUGGAAACAACGGCUCCUCAGUGACAUCAUCAGUCCUUGUGAUUUGCAGUCAACUUGUUAUAGAGUGGAGUUAUACAGUGUACAACACUGAUGAAACCAGUCACCACGUGGAUGACAAGCAUAAGAUGACCUUCUUGGCUUCAGAGAGAUUAAAAUUCAUAUGCUGUCUUCACUCACUCCUCUCCAGCUAGCAUUAUCAGUAGGCAACUGACUUCAUGUGGUUGAGAGCCUUAGUAGAUUUACCAUUACACAACUUAACCUACACUUUUGCAUUAAUUUGAUGGAUGUCAGCGUAGCAAAACCAGAUUGUCACUCCUUAUGCUGCCUUCCAUUAAGGGUUUGUUCUUUUCAUAGAAUCUUGAGUCAAAGAUCUCCCCAGCAUUUGCUGUAUUCAAACAACUGACUGGAAUGAGAAAAAAUUUCCUGAAUAUUGCUGUAAAGAUCCUGAUGUCCAGAAGAGCCAAACCAGGACUCCCUGCUUACAUCUCAAAGAAAGUUGUUUUUCAUUUGUGUUGGAUGUUACGUGAGAAUGUUAUAUACAUCCCUGUGCUACUUUGAUAAAAUAUUAACAAUAUUAACAAUAGUAAAAUAAACAUCAUAAAAUAUUGAAUAUUAAAA